UGCCAGCAGCCGCGGUAAUACGGAGGGUGCAAGCGUUGUUCGGAUUUACUGGGCGUAAAGAGCGCGUAGGCGGCUUCAUAAGUUAAGGGUGAAAUCCCGGGGCUUAACUCCGGAACUGCUCUUAAAACUGUGGAGCUAGAGACAAUCAGAGGUGGGUGGAAUUCCAGGUGUAGAGGUGAAGUCCGUAGAUAUCGGGAGGAACACCAGUGGCGAAGGCGGCCACCUGGACGGUGACUGACGCUGAGACUCGAAAGUGUGGGUAGCAAACAGGAUUAGAUA
rnacentral:rRNA from 1 species